rnacentral:rRNA from 1 species
UGUUCCUACGGGAGGCAGCAGUGAGGAAUAUUGGUCAAUGGGCGGAAGCCUGAACCAGCCAAGUCGCGUGAGGGAAGAAGGCCCUGCGGGUCGCAGACCUCUUUGGAGGGGGAGCAAGGACGCCGACGUGUCGGCGGAAGGAGAGUACCCGUAGAACAAGCAUCGGCUAACUACGUGCAAGCAGCCGCGGUAAUACGGAGGAUGCGAGCGUUAUACGGAUUUAUUGGGGUUAA